rnacentral:rRNA from 1 species
UACGUAGGGGGCAAGCGUUAUCCGGAUUUACUGGGUGUAAAGGGAGCGUAGACGGCAGGGCAAGUCUGGAGUGAAAGGCAGGGGCCCAACCCCUGGACUGCUCUGGGAACUGUCCGGCUGGAGUGCAGGAGAGGUAAGUGGAAUUCCUAGUGUAGCGGUGAAAUGCGUAGAUAUUAGGAGGAACACCAGUGGCGAAGGCGGCUUACUGGACUGUAACUGACGUUGAGGCUCGAAAGCGUGGGGAGCAAACAGG